GACACACAAAAGGAGAUAGAGUUCAAUAAACUCUCAUUCUCACCAUCCUGAUUCAAUAAUUACCAGGAUUCUGCCACAUUUGUUUCAUUUACUCUCCCUUUUUUCUCUGAUGUAUUUUACUUUUUUUUUAGUAAUCUCUACACCCAACGUGGGGCUUGAACUCACAACCAAGAUGGAGGUGCACGCUCCUUUGACCGAGCCAGCCAGGUGCCCCAAUGCUGAUGUAUUUUCAACCCAAUCCUAGACAUGUCAUCUUGCUUCCAUAUACUUGGAUACUGUACCAAGAAGCACCAAGCACAGGACUUAAUAAACACAAGAAAGAGGAAAAAAAGUAAAGAACACACUAAGCAUCUGCAGAUUACAAGGUAUGAAUGAAUGUGGAUCACUAAGAAACAUGCAGGACAGUGAAAAUUUUUACAUAUAAAAAGUCCUUGACUGAGCAAAAGAUGAUGAUUAAGUCCAUCAUCAAAGUCCAUGUAAAGCUAUGUCAUAGACACAAACAGCCACUACCAGUUAUCAAACCAAAAGCCAAUGAUAAUUAUACCACUUCCCACUGUUACGUGAACUAUAAAAAACGCUUUUUGUACAACAAUUUUUCUGGCUAAAACAAUGUGAUCACUCAACCUAAGGUUGUAAAUUUUUGUUUUUGGCCAGAAGCCACUAUAACACCAUGGAUAUUGCCAUAUUGCCACCCAAACUUUAGUUUGUAACUGGUACACCAAAAUGCCCAUUUCUCUACAUCCUUGACAACACUGGAUUAUCAGUUUUUGACUUUUUUUCCGACAUGUCUAGAGUUUAGGAUUUGUUUUUAAAUUGUAUUUCACUGAUUACUAGUGAGGCUGAGGAUCUUACAUUUAUUGACCCUUUGAAUUUCUUCUAAAAUCUGCCUUAAAAAAAAGAUCUUUCUAUUGUAUUGUCUGUCUUGUUUCUAAGAACUAAAAACUGUGAAUAGCAAUCUUAUCUGAUGUAUAUUAAAAAUAUUGUCUGCAACUUA